GAUGAACGCUAGCUACAGGCUUAACACAUGCAAGUCGAGGGGUAACGAGAGGAAAGCUUGCUUUCCUUGUCGACGACCGGCGCACGGGUGAGUAACGCGUAUCCAACCUGCCCCCAACUAGGGAAUAACCUUGCGAAAGUAAGACUAAUACCCUAUAAUUUCCUCAGAUGUCAUCUGACGAGGAAUAAAGAUUUAUCGGUUGUGGAUGGGGAUGCGUCUGAUUAGCUUGUUGGCGGGGUAACGGCCCACCAAGGCAACGAUCAGUAGGGGUUCUGAGAAGAAGGUCCCCCACAUUGGAACUGAGACACGGUCCAAACUCCUACGGGAGGCAGCAGUGAGGAAUAUUGGUCAAUGGGCGGAAGCUUGAACCAGCCAAGUAGCGUGCAGGAUGACGGCCCUAUGGGUUGUAAACUGCUUUUAUACAGGAAUAAAGUUAGCCACGUGUGGUUACUUGUAGGUACUGUAUGAAUAAGGACCGGCUAAUUCCGUGCCAGCCGCCGCAGUAA
rnacentral:rRNA from 1 species